GAAAUUUUGCUCGCUAACGAUCAAAUGUGUCGCGUCCUGAAAGCAGACGUCUUCAAAAAUGACCAUUGCUCAAAGUACUGUCUUCGGUUGGACAAUAUCCGGAGUAUGUCAGUACUAAUGUUGCAUUGUUGCAAGGGCGGCGGCAUGUUGAAUUGUGUUCAACAAACUAUCAAAGCAAAACUUUAAGAAUUUGAAUUUUCUAGCAUUUAGUGCAAGUCACUAUGUGAAACUUCAUUAAUUUCCCAUUUUACAUACAUAUUUAUAAAGAUAUGGAAACUCUUGAUCCAAUCUCAAACAAAUGAAUAAAAGUUUUUACUCAAUUGGAUAAUUAGUAUCCAUCUUAGCGUUUAUUCCAUAUACGGUUCUAGCUAAUUUUAAAUUACAUGUACUUUUUAAUUUCAAUGCUCGCUGGCUUCCUAUAUUGUAUCCAUUGUGCAUUGACUUACAAGCAGCCGAAGCGGUAAGAAGCAGCGAGCUCAAUAAAACCUCAAACAGCAUUCUGAAACCCUUGUGUUUUAUUUCCUUACUCUCUUUCCAUAUCGUACGGCAAACUUGCAAUCUUGGAGUUUCCAAAUGUUAAUACAGUCCAUUUGCAUAAUUCUUGUACAAUUGUUAUACUGUUAGCCAAGCGAUAUACCAUUUUCGUAGCAUGGCAUUUCAGUAAAAGCUCUUUAAUUGUCGAAAAUUAAUAUUCAAAACAUAAUUUUGUUCCACAUAAAGUAAAAGAAUUAUAAAUUCAAAUUUGAAGUUGCAUGCGUCCGGUUAGACGUCACAUCAAGAUGAGGUUGUCCCACAGUCGUAAGGUGAGGGAAAGAGUGAAUACGUACGAUCGUAAAAAAAAAAACCAAAAUGAAUGUGUAAAAUAUUCAACAACAAUAAUUGCAAAUCCCCGAAAAUGAAACAAAACCCCAUGUAGUCAGUAAUAGAGAACAACAAAUGCCUUUGGUUAAAUCAAAUAAAUCAAAGAAAAUAAAGAAUAAUUCAACUAUUAUGCUCAUGAACAACAGGAGCAACAUUCGCA